rnacentral:misc_RNA from 1 species
GUAGAUUGGAAAGUUAACUUGAGAAAAGUAAGAGAGACAUUACACUAACACAUGCCAGCACCAAUAAAUUACUACCUAAUAUGGUUUAAUUGAAAUAGUAUAGCAAAAAUGAACAACAAUAGGCAUCUGAAUGGCAUAGCAUAAAACUCUCAUUACCUAAUCACCCUUGACCAUAUUUUGCUUCUUGUCACUUACAGUUUUAGCUUGAAACCAGUUGACAGAAAAUCCUCACUAAAAAGAACAAGUAUCAACUUCAAAAUGAGAAUUUACUAAUUUCAGAAACCUGUAGCUAAAGAUGCUAACUAGUGUUUAUAGCAAAAUUAAAAAUUAGUGUUUAUAGCAAGCAUAAGUUGAAUAGCGUCAAGCUAAGUUUAAUAUUUAUCUCCUCUUCCUCCUAGUCUCUUUUUUUUUUUUUUUUU